rnacentral:lncRNA from 1 species
CCACAAGAUCAAUUUCAAUAGCAGGAUAAAAAGCCACCAUUGGAAUAGAUGUUUGAGAAGUUCAUGGCAAUGACUAAUCAGUACAUGGAGGCCAACAACCAGUUUAUGCGAAAGAUAGAUGCAACUCUCCAAGACCAAAGUGCUGCAAUCAAAAAUUUGGAGACGCAAAUGGAAUAGAUGGUAAUCUCCAUGACAGGUAGAGCACCAAGAAACCUACCCAGCAACACUGAAAUCAAUCCUAAGGAGCACGUAAAAGCUGUAACAACCAGAAGUGGAGUACAACUACCGGAGAUACAUGUAAAAAGACCGAUAGCUAGCAAGGAAUCAGCGCCUACCUCAGAUGACGAGAUUGUGGAACAGACUAAACAAACAACAGGGGAUGUUGCCAAGAAGAGUUUCAAUACAUCACGGGUUACAGCUACCAACUCUAUCAACCCUCAUAAGCCACCUAUUCUAUUCCCGCAGAGGUUGAAAAAGCACAAAUUGGAUCAACAAUAUAGUAAAUUUCUUGAAGUCUUCAAGAAACUCAACAUCAACUUCCCAUUUGCUGAGGCACUUGUUUAGAUGCCGAGUUAUGCAAAAUUCCUAAAGGAUAUCCUCUCUAACAAGCGAAAGAUAGAAGAAAAUGAAACAGUGAUGCUAACGGAGGAAUGCUGUGCCAGAAUCCAGAAAAAGCUGCCUCCAAAACUAAAGGAUCCAGGGAGCUUUACUGUACCUUGCACUAUUGAAAAUUGUCAUUUUGAUAAUACUUUGUGUGAUUUAGGUGCAAGUAUUAAUUUGAUGCCUCCCUCUGUUUUCAGGAAACUCGGCUUGGGAGAAGCUAAAGCCACAACAGUAACCCUACAGUUAGUAGAUCGAUCCCUUACACAUCUAAGAAGGAUCAUUAAAGACGUGUUGGUAAAAGUAGAAAAGUUUAUAUUUUCAGCCGAUUUUCUCACUUUAGAUAUGGAGGAAGAUAAGGAUGUUCCACUCAUAUUGGGGUGACCCUUCUUAGCUACUAGAAGAGGGAUUGUCGAUGUUCAGAAAUGGCAUCUUAUAUUGAGGCUUGGCGAAGAACAGAUCUCUUUCAACUGUUCAAGGCAAUAAGAUUUUCCACUGAGUCAGAUAGCUGUUUCUAGAUCGAGGUAAUUGAUAGAAUAAUUCAAGAUACAUUUCGGCUACAUCAUCCUUCCGAUGCAUACGAGGCAUGCAUUGCACAUUUUCAGUCCACUCACACUGAUUCAAGUGAGA